rnacentral:rRNA from 1 species
CGCAUUCAGUUGCCAUCGGGUAAGUGCCGGGCGACUCUGGAAGGACUGCCAUCGACAAGAUGGAGGAAGGUGGGGAGUGACGUCAAGUCAUCAUGGCCCUUAUGUCCAGGGCGACACACGUGCUACAAUGGCCGGCACAACGGGAAGCGAGUUCGCGAGGACGAGCGGAUCCCUCAAAGCCGGUCGCAGUUCGGAUUGAAGUCUGCAACUCGACUUCAUGAAGCUGGAAUCGCUAGUAAUCGUGGAUCAGCCAAGCCGCGGUGAAUACGUUCCCGGGCCUU